rnacentral:misc_RNA from 1 species
GUAGGUGAACCUGCGGAAGGAUCAUUACAUUCAGUAGCCUAGCUACUUGUUUAUACCCUUGUUUUUUUGCGCACCUAUUGUUUCCUCGGCGGGCUUGCUCGCCGAUUGGACAAAAAUUAUAACCUUUUAAAUCUUCAAUCAGCGUCUGAAUUAUACAUAAUAAUUACAACUUUCAACAACGGAUCUCUUGGUUCUGGCAUCGAUGAAGAACGCAGCAUCUGACUGACUGAACUGUAUCUCAUCUCGUAUG